rnacentral:tRNA from 1 species
GGUGACGUAGCCAAGUGGCCAGGCAACGGAUUGCAAAUCCGUCUACGCGGGUUCGAUUCCCGCCGUCACCU